rnacentral:lncRNA from 1 species
AGCAAUUUGCUGGAUAAAUAUUGCUGUGUAAAUCAACAAUCACUUCCCAAUAAUUAAAAGCCAAGUCAGGUGUUAUUGAAAAACCCAUGGUGUGUGCUCCAGCUCUGGAAAUGUUGCCCCUUGCAGCUGUGGCUGGAGUGGAAGUAGCCCGAAGACGGUAUGGGUGGUCUGGGCUGGCCACCCCUUGAAACCCAGAUUUGGUGGGAGAGAGCUGGAGGUGCUGGCAAUGGCUGGAGGGCUGGGGUGUGAGGCUGGGCCUCUCAGUACUCCACAGAUGGUGGAAGUAAAUGUGAGAAACAGAUUUGGUCAUAGCUUUAUGAUUAGCAUGAGUCAGUCUAGAGCAGUGGUUACUUGCAUGGAUUUGGGAAUCCAACAGAUAUAGGUGAGAGCCCCAGGUCAGAUCACACUUGCUGGCUGUGUGACCCAGACAAGGCAUUUCUCUUCUCUGAGACCUUCAUCUCUAAAGGUCUUCUUCUGUGAAGGACCUUCACCCUCAGGCCCUUCGACUGAGUCUAAUGUAAAAGUCUCACUUCACUGAGUGAGAAUGAUUGGAUGGAAUGCAUGUCCUUAGCUCACCAUGCUCAUUCAACAAAGAUCGCUGGUUGAUUGUUGUUUAUUGUGUCUCUUCUGGGUGACUUGCUCUGGGUCUAAUCUCUGUGCCCCAGUGCCUCUUACCUUGAAGCCCUUUCCCAGUGCUGCCCACCCAAAGAAGGUAGUGGAUUAAAUCUUUGCCCAUUAACUCUUUACUCAGCCUCUCUUCAAAAUAUCAUCCUGUCUAUAAAGCAGAAUGCUAAUGACUGACUGGACUCCUCCCUAGUUGCUGGCUUGGCUGGGAUGGAAGGAAGGAGGGCAAGGAUGGCCCAGCUGGUGGGGUACUGUAGGGCCAGGGCUACCAGAGGGGCACUCCCACCACUAACUUGUGUGGACUCAAACCUGAAGAACCCGUGGCACUUGGGGUGGAUGGGAAGCUGAGUCCUGUGGCUCAGGAAGAUUGAAAAGAGUGUGGACAAAGAUGGUGAACAAGAUGGCAGACUAAGAUCUUUUGUUUAAACUGCUUCCUCCCCUCCUUGCAUUCCUUCUGAAAUUACUAUAUAGGGGUAACUAUUUAUAUAGGGAUAAAAAACUAGGGGAGCACGGAGGACAUGUGCCACCAGGCACACACGAGUGUGACACUGAUGCAUUAGAAACUUGAAGAAUUUCGACUGAGACCAGAGGAAUUUGCCUGGGGAAAGAGCUGGUCAUUUGGAGACACACUAUGUGAGGAGGAGGAGCCAUCUCUGGGGUUUUCAGAGCUUCCGGUGAUGGUGCAUCUACUGUGUGCCAGAUCCUGGGCUGAGAAAGUCACCCACAGAGUGAGCCCUCAGCACAGCACACGGAUGUGGUGCCGUCACGUACCUCAUUUUGCACAAGAAGGAACUGAGACCGGGAGGGUCUGUCCCUUGUUCAUGGUUAUACAGCUAAUGAGUGGCUGGACUGGGACUUGAAGCCAUGCCCAUCUAACUCCUGAGCCCAUUAACUACCUGGCUGGGUGGCCUCCCUAGGUGUAGAACCCCAUAACCCACAAGCACAGGGAGGCAGCUGAAGAUGAGGUGAGCAGGGGCAGUAGGCAGGAGCAGUUUUCGUGACUACCUCAGGCACCAACCAAAGUGCCAUCUUACAGUUGUCCUCAGAGGCUGGCUCAGAAGAGUGAGUUGCAGCUGCAGCUGGGUCCUGGUGCGACUGGCCAGGCCAGAUAGAGAGGGAGGGCAGCAUCCAAGCAACAUGGAGUUGUAACCCCAGCUUCAGAAACGAGGCUUACCAGCAGAGCAGGGCUGUUCCCAUGAUGUUUGUGCUUUAGUAUCUCACCCUUCUUACUUCCCUCAGACAGCAAAACCCAGAAAUAGCAAACUAAACCUUCAGCGAACCCAAACGUUUCCUCAUCUGGGUCUGGAAGAUUAGAACAGGGUUGGAAAAAUGCUUACCGUGAGGAUGAGUGAACGGAGGAAGACCACUGGCCCUGUGAAAAGACAGCAGAUCACAAUGAAGGAGGGGAUUCAAAUGCUUCCCUUUGAGAUAAACUUCCUGCCAGAAUCAGCAGAAGUCUUUAGGAAAUCUCUAAUUUGUGUGCCCAAUGAGAUUCAAAGGGACAUUGCAUGCCUGAAAAAAGGAUACUCUGAGACUAGAAAAGCUUGUUUUCAGCUGAAAAGUGCAAUUGCUGUAUUUAUAAAGACAGUGGAGGCAGAAAAUAGCUGAUUGAACACCACAGAAACAGAAUCCAUGGUGUUAAAAGGUGGGCCCUAAAAAAAUCUUCCAAUAAUUCAGAAGAAAAGAGUAAAGGAAUGGACGUGAUUAGCGAAAAGACACCUUGAAGAAAGACCCACAUAUAGGACAAAGUGAGCGAUAGUUAAAGGAAUAAUUAAACCAAGCUGCCCUUUGACUGUUAGGUAAAGUUAAGGAAAAGAGACGUAUAGCUAGGUGAAAUAAUUGGAUUUCAAGGAUUAAAGGGGGAAAGUCCUAUAAAUAUACAGGCAGGAAAACAUGUUGCCAACUGCAUUUUUACAGAAUAGAUUUGGCAAAGUAUGCAGACUGCCAAAGUAACAAUGGCUAGAACAGUAUGUAAUCUUUCUUUUUCAUAUUUAAUAGUACAAAAGUAGGUGAUUCAAGGUUGGCAUGGGGCCUCUGCUCUCUGAGGUUUCCCAGUGCUCUGAAGCAGUGGGGCAUAGACUUCUGUCUUGUUACUCUGCCAUUCUCAGGGUGUUAACUUCAUCUGAAAGGAUCCUUGUUACAAGUGGCGGAAUGGAGUAAUAAUAAAAUAGGGCAGGAGUUCCUGUCAUGGCUCAGCAGUAAUGAAUCUGACUCAUAUACAUGAGGAUGAGGUUUGAUCCCUGGCCUCCUUCAAUGGGUUAAGUAUCUGGCAGUUGCUAUGAGCUGUAUACAUCACAAAUGUGGCUCAUAUCCCGUUUUGCUGUCGCUGUGGUGUAGACCAAUUCAACCCCUAGCCUGGGAACUUCCAUAUGCUGCUGGUGCAGCCCUAAAAAGGACCUAAAUAAAUGAAUAAAUAAAUAAAAAUAAAAUAGGGCAUACUUCCCCCUCCUCCCUUUAAAAUCACCACCCAGAGGUUCUGCACAUAAUGCUAUUCCCAUUCCAUUGGCCAGAACAUAGUCACAUGACUACUCCUUGCUGCAAGGGAGGCUGGGAAAUGAAGUGUUUAUUCCGAGAAGCCAUGUGCUCUGCUCAAUAUUAGAGUUUUGUUAUUAUGAGAGAAGAGAAUGGUUACUGGAGAACUUUUACCCCAGUGCACUAAAACUGGAAAUUAAAGAUAAAAUGAGGGGAAAAACCCCCCACAAACUCAACAAUUCUCUACCACCUAGAAACUUAAAAAACUCUGUUAACUAGCACUUGUGUUAAAGAGGAAAUAUCAGCAGAAACUGCAGAAAAUCUAGAAAAUAAAGUAAACAAUGUUAUCAGAAUAUGUGGGAAAUAGAGUAAUACUCAAAGGAAAAGCUUUGAAUAUUGAUAUCAAAAAACAAGAAAGAUGAAAAUGAGAAAAGUGAACCUCUGAUUACAUUAGGAAGAAAGCAGCAGGCCAAACCAGAGGAAAGCAGAAGCAAGAAACCUACAAACAUAAAAGGAGAAAUUAUGAGUUAAUAAGCAGAAAAAUAGAAGUGAUUUUAUGAGGAAAUCAAUAAAAUAAACCACAAGAUAAACUAAUUAAGAUAAUGGGCAAGAAAUCCUAAAU